UGAAUAAAUUAUAGAAAAUAAAUUAUUACAUAAAAUAAAUUAUUAUAUAUAAUAAAAUAAUAUAUAUUAUUUUAAAUUAGAUUCUUACAUUUUAUAUUAUAUUAUAAAUUACUAUAUGAAAUAAUUUUAUAAAUAAUUUUAUAUAAAAUAUACUAAUAUAAAUUAAUUAUUUUAUUUUUAAAAAUAUAUUUGUUGUUCUAGACUUUUUAUCCAAACGCUAUUAAGGAUAUCCUCUAGAAUAUCCUCGAAUGCAUCCAAACACAAAUUUACAAUUGUUCUAUCUUGUACCGGAAUAUUCCCUGUUCUCGGGAACAACAAAAGUUGUUCUCCAAAAUUUAGUUCUCCAACCAAACGCAGCCUAACAGUAUAACAUUGCAACUAGUACUUUUUAUCAUUCAAUCGAACAAAGAGUAAAACCUAAUUAUAUUGUUCUAUUAUGCCCCGAGAGUGUAAAUUUGGAACGAAUCUAUGUCAACUUUCGCAAGAACCAAAGCCGGAACAACAUUAGAAAACUCAGUUGCGACCUAACUGUAUAACGUUUCAACAAGUAGUUUUUCUCAUUCUAUCGAACAAAGAGUAAAACCUUAUUAAAUUGUUCUAUUAUGCCCCGAGAGUGUAAAUUUGGAACAAAUCGAUGUCAACUUUCGCAAGAACCAAAACCGGAACAACAUUAGACAACUCAGUUUCGACCUAACAGUAUAACGUUGCAACAAGUAGUUUUUCUCAUUCUAUCGAACAAAGAGUAAAACCUAAUUAAAUUGUUCUAUUAUACCCCGAGAGUGUAANGAGUGCCCUGCGAGCGAGAGCGAGAGAAAGAGAAAGGGGAGAGCGCGAGAUGACGAGAGAGGAGACGAGAGAGGCGCGAGAUCAAGAGAGAGGCGAGGGAGCGAGCGGGACCGAGAGAGCGAGCGGGACCGAGAAGGAGGUGAAGGGGAGAGAGAGAGAAAGAGAUGUGUAGUAGGGUUUAGCUUUAGGAAGAAAAAAUAAAAGGGGAGUGAAGUUAGCUGCUACUGUGCUAGUGAUCUAAUAAUAGCCGUUGGAUCAUACGGGUGUAGGAUAUACACCUUUCUAUAGGAGUACAGGUAGACUUUUCCUUAAAAAAAUGAAACUAAAUAAAAAUAUUUUACUAAAUGCAAAUAAACCGAAUGAAACCAGCUUAAUUAUUUUGGUUUUUGGUUCAUGUCUCUAAUUCGAUUUAAUUCGGUUUUCUAAGAAACUAUAAAAAAAUCAAAUCAAAUCAAACCGAACCGACCAAUGCUCACCCAAAUGUUAUUUUAAAAUAGUACUGUUCGGAGAAGCAUUAUUUUAUCAAAAAAAAAUUAUAUAGAUAGCUCAGGAAAAUCUAUGGGAAAACUUCAAAAACCCCCCAUGUGGUUUCGUAGUUUCUCACUUUGCCCUCCUGUGAUUUAAAAUGUAUCAAUUUGUCCCCCUAUGGUUUCUUUUUUCUCUUUUUCUUAUCAAUUUCAUUAUUUUUUUUCUUAAAUCAGUGAUAAAGUUAAUUUAAAGGAUACUAAAGUGAAUAUUUGAUAAAUCCAGAUGGGUAUUUGAAGUUUUUUGUAUAUAAUUUAAUGAAAUAUUAACGAAAAAGUUAUCGAAAAGAUAAAAACAAUACCACAGGGGGGCAAUUUGAUACAUUUUAAACCACAGGGGGGCAAAGUAAAAAACUAUGAAACCACAUGGGUUUUUUUUUUGAAGUUUUCCCAAAAUCUAUUGCACAACAACAAAAUUCAUGAGCUUCAAUCUUACUUUUUUUUCCUCCAUAUUUUGUUCUUUAGUUAUGGAUUUUAAUAUUUAGGAACAUGAUUUACUGACUAACUGGUAUUUAAGCUUGGUGAAUUGAUUUAUGUAUUUUCUCUCUUUCGCAUUCAUAGGUUCGAAAACGGACUCCUCAUUUUCUCUUAUUUUGUUUUGAUUUUUUUUUUUCGCUUGAUCUUUUAUAUAUGAAAAUGUGUUUUAUUUUUCUUAUCAAAAUUAUUCAAUAUUGUAUUCAAGCUCUAAUUUUUCGAAAAACUUCAAAAAACUCCCAUGUGGUUUCGUAGUUUCUCACUUUGCCCCCCGUAGUUUAAAAUGUAUCAAAUUGCCCCCCUGUGGUUUCGUUUUUAUCUUUUCGAUAGCUUUUUCGUUAAUAUUUCAUUAAAUUAUAUACAAAAAACUUCAGAUAUCCAUCUAGAUUUAUUCAAAUAUUCACUUUAGUACCCUUUAAUUUUAACUUUAUCACUGAUUUAAGAAAAAAAAAUAAUAAAAUUGAUAAAAAAAAGAGAAAAAAGAAACCAUAAGGCUGCGUUUGGUUGGAGGGAUAUCCCAGAACAAGGCGGGAUAUCCCUCCAAACACAAUGCAUUUUGGAACAACCGGGUUGUUCCCGGAACAACCCGUUAAGCCGGGAACAACCCGGUAAGCUUGCCGGAACAAGAGAUUUGGGCUUUUUUUUUUCUUUUUUUUUUUUUUCUGGCCUUUUAAUUUUUUAUACUUUAUUUUAAUUAAUUUCAAAUAAAUUAAAUGAAUGCUCAAAUUUAAUAAAUAAAUAUAUUAAUAUAAAUAUUAUUUUUAUGAUAAUAUAUUUAUACUUAAAUUUUAUUAUAUAAUAUAAAUUAAUUAAAUUUGAUAUAUAUUUUAUUUUAUUAAGUUUUAUCAUUUAUAUAUUAAUAUUUAAUUAUUUUAUUUUAUAUUAAGUAUUAUAUACAUAAAAUCAUUUUAUCAUAUUAUAUAUAUAUAUAUAUAUAUAUAUAUAUAUAUAUAUAUAUAUAUAUAUUAAUUGUAUUGAAAUUUUAUACUUAAUUUUUAGGGUAAUAUAUUUAUACUUAAAUUUUAUUAUAUAAUAUAAAUUAAUUAAAUUUGAUAUAUUUUUUAUUUUAUUAAACUCUAUCAUUUAUACUUUAAUAUUUAAUUAUAUAUAUAUUUUUUAUUUGUAUUAAAAUUUAUACUAAUUAUUAAUUAAAAAUAUAGGGAUAUUGUUAGUAUUAUACUUUAUUCAUUAAUAUAUUAUGAAUAAAUUAUAGAAAAUAAAUUAUUACAUAAAAUAAAUUAUUAUAUAUAAUAAAAUAAUAUAUAUUAUUUUAAAUUAGAUUCUUACAUAAAAUAUUAUAUUAUAAAUUACUAUAUGAAAUAAUUUUAUAAAUAAUUUUAUAUAAAAUAUACUAAUAUAAAUUAAUUAUUUUAUUUUUAAAAAUAUAUUUAGACGUUGUUUUAGACUUUUUAUCCAAACGCUAUUAAGGAUAUCCUCUAGAAUAUCCUCGAAUGCAUCCAAACACAAAUUUACAAUUGUUCUAUCUUGUAUCGGAAUAUUCCCUGUUCUCGAGAACAACAAAAGUUGUUCUCCAAAAUUUAGUUCUCCAACCAAACGCAGCCUAAGGGAACAAAUUGAUACAUGUUGAAUCACAGGAGGGCGAAGUGAAAAGCUACGAAACCACAGGGGGUAUUUUGAAGUUUUUCCCUAAUUUUUGAAUAAACAACCCUCCUUUAAAAAAACAAAAAAAAAAAAAACUCGGUGCGCUUUGAUGUAAUGAAUGAGCACAUUAAUUUGCAAAGGUCACACAACCAAUCAAAAGCAGCCACGUAUAUACCAAACCAAUAACAAGACGCCACGUCACCCAAUCUCCUGUAAAAAAAAAGAAGCACAUUCCAAACACACUACGCACGCGUUGAACAAAAAAAUUUUGUGGGGACGACAAUCCUAUGGCGAGGCUUCCAUCCACCGUCCAUUACGCUUUGAAAUUCGUGCCACUCUAUUUGAUGGACGGUGGAUGAAAUGCUCUCACCGUGCGGAUCCUCCACACCAAAUUUUUGUUCCGCUGAACAAAAAAAAUUUUGUGGGGACGACAAUCCUAUGCCGAGGCUUCCAUCCGCCGUGCAUUACGCUUUGAAAUUCGUGCCGCUUUGUUUGAUGGACGGUGGAUGAAAUGCUCUCACCGUGCGGAUGAUCCCCACCAAUUUUUUGUUCCCUACGGAUUCCUCCUCUCACCUUCUCUCUCUCCCUCUCGCUCUCUCUUUCUCUCUCUAUAAAUAUAUAUCUCUCCCGCGCACUCUUUUUCCCGCCGCCAUUUGGACGGAAUCGAGCGUCGGAUGCAAUGGACCCGAAACCCCCGACGACGACGACGACGACGACGAAGCUCGCCUACUUCGACGACAUGCGCGCCCUCCGCUCCUCCGCCCUCCUCCUCGCCCUUCUCCAGGUUCCCUCCCUAACCCCCCCUCUCUCUCGAAACCCUAAACCCUAAUCAAACUCCUAGAUUGGGCUAAAACCCUAGCUGCUUUGUGCGAUCCAAGGUGGAUGAUGGGCGCCUCGCGGCGAUCCUCGACGCCACGAUCUUCCACCCCCAGGGCGGCGGCCAACCGGCCGAUACCGGAUUCAUCAUCGCGGCCGCCGCCGCCGACGACGACGAUGGUGGAGGAUGCGGCGCCAAGUUCGUUGUCGAGGAUGUUAGAUUGAAGGAGGGAGUGGUUAGUAACCUAAUCCCUAAUCUCUCUCGCAGUUCUUAAGCUACAUUUUCAUAUGUAUCCGUCCGAAGAUUUGGAAUUGUGGAUUUAUCCCUUGUAGGGUUUGCAUAGAAUGACGCAAAAAGUAACUAUAAAAAUAUUAGAAAUGGAAAAUGACGUUAGAUAUAUUUAAAGAAGAUAUUUAUUCAAGAGUUGAAUGGUCAUUUUAUUCAACUUUUGAGAGAUAUACUUGUGGAGUAAAAUUUGAAAAUAUUUGGCAAGUGCGUGCCAACCUUUGUAUGUUUUCCUAUUUUUGGUCUCCAAUAUAUAUAUAUUUUUGGAGGGUUUUUUUUUUUUUUAAUUUGAAAUUCAUAAAUUUAAAUUUUAAAUUAUUGUGAAUUAAAUUUUAAAAUUCACAACUAGAUUUUCAAUUCAAAUUUUGAUUUUAAAUUUAGUUUUAUUUAAAAUUUCAAAUUCAAAUUCAAAUUUUGUACCUAAUUUUAGAUUAAAAUUCAAAAUUUUAAUUUUGAAUUCAAAAUUCAAAAUGUGAAUUUGAAUUUAGAUUUUAACUUCAAAUUUAAAUUUAACAUUAAAAUUUAAUUCCAAAUUUAAAUUUAAAUUUGAAUUUCAGAUUUUAAUUUUAAUUUUAAAUUUACUCUUGAGUAUCACUGGACAUUCUAUUAAAACCUCCCUAACAGCUUCUAAGUAGAACCAAAAGCUUAUGUUUUUGGACCAAAAAGAGUCUUAUGUCAGCUUCUUGCUGUUGCAGAAGCUCCAGGUUUAUUUAUUUCAUUUGGAUUCCAUAGCAGCAAAAACAAACUUUCCCCACAAAGAGAUGUAAUUAGAUAUCUACAGGGCCCUUGUGCUAAAUUUGGGAGUAAUAUCGAACAUGAAAAUGAAACUCAUCAUGCUUUAGCUGAGUGAUUACUAUAGCUAGGAAUAGUGAAUUAUGCCUUUGACAAUAUGGCAAUUUAGUAGAACAUUAAUAUAUGAUUAGGAAAUCUUAUUGUCUCACGUGUUGAGAGUAUUAGUUAGAAGCUGACCUUUAUUUACUUGCACUAUGCAGUUGAUUCCUGAGUAUAACUGGACAUCAAGAUCUCAGAUCUGUGAUAAUUUUUGCUAUUUUGUUUAGGUUUUUCAUUAUGGGAAAUUUGAGGAUAGUGAAGAUGAAUGCCAAUCUAAACUCAGAGAGGGUCAGAAAGUUAGCUUGCACAUUGAUGCACAAAGGCGCGAAAUCAAUUCCAGGUAUAGAAUUCUCUGUAAGUAGCACACUUAAAAAAUCUAAUCUUUUAAUAUAUGGGUGUAUUAUUGGUAGAUAUGCUUCUUUUCUCCAAAGAGUUACCUACCCACUACAUAAAUUAAUCAUAGGUAACUUUGUAUAUUGCCGAAGUAACCUAUGGUAGAUUUACUUUUAACUACCACAUUUCCAUAUGCUGUCUGACCAUGAUCAUCUUGUAGCCUCGAGCUUAAUCCACUCUUACAUCCUCUUUUUUUUUUUUUUAAGGAAAAGAAAAAUGUAGUCAAUAAAGCGUCUAGUUCUAGAUUCCCUCUAAUGUGUUGUAUGAUCCUAAUUGUUGUCCACUUGAUAUGCGAAAUAUGGGGUGAAACUCUAUAAACAAAAGCAUCUAAAACAUUUUUGUUUUGAUUGAUGUUGAUUUGAAGCUGUAAUCCAUAACGAUAGGAUCUCAGCUUCAUUUCAAACCAUUCUAAUUGAGGCUUAGUUUUAAAGUGCCGACCUACAUUGCUGGGUCUAGCUUCUGAGGUCAAAGUUAAUACGCUUACGGAUCAUAUUUAUUGUUGCUCGUCAUUUUAUGAUCUUUCAUGCAGACAACGAUCUGCACUUUAUUCAUUAUCUUGAUUGAAGUCUAAACAUCACUUAGUAUAGAACAUUGCAAAAAUUGAGUUUUAGUUCUUUACUUUUCGUACAUUUUGGAUACUUUUUGAGAGACGCUUGAAAGUAAAACGGGUUAAUUGUACAAAUAGUCCGCAACCUUACUUGGUUUACUAUUUUGAUCACCAAACUUUUUUUUCUGAUUUUGUAAUCGAGUCUCUAACCUGUAGUAUUUGUUUCAAUUACAGCCCUGCAAAAAUGCAGUUAACAAUAAUGGAAAUUGCCACGUGGCAAGAUUUGAUGUUGACCAAAACUCAGAAAUUCUAAGGGACUCGCCGAAGCUGAGACUGUACCCUGUUUUCUUGAAUCUUUGAGAGCCAUAGCAGUGUUUUUCAGCUAGAAUGUGCCAAAAUAUUGUUCAGCUUUUUUAGAUUAUACUAAGAAAUUAUUUACAUCCUGAUAUUUUUAGGGCCGUUAGUCUCUAUGUAAUGCGAUGCAAUUAUGACAACUAGCCAUAGCUCUGGUGGCAUGAAAGAAGUACUAGCACUGUUACUUCCUUAUUUCUUUAUGACAAAAUAAUGAUCUGGCUCAUGAUAUUAUGAACUGAAAUUUCAGCUUAGGACUUUGUUUGAAUAAUUGAUGGGAAAGAGUUCUGUUAGAGAAAGAAGCCUCUGAUAACAUGGGGCCACAAUAUGCCAUGAAAUUCAUUGUAAAAUUGACAGUUCGUACUGUAAUCAAGUAUGUUAUAGUUCCUAUCUGUUGAAUUGAAAUGCCAGAGCUACUAAGAGCUGCUAAGGCUGUGUCAGUAUAUUCAAGUACUGCUUUUGUUGUGCGUGCCUUUAAUCUAGGCUAUGCGUUCUCUCUAAUAAAGGACUUCUUCCUGAAAGCAACUAGCACUGUCACAUUCGAUGGUUGGAGGGGGGAAGCUUGUUUAUUUUUGAACUUGUCUACUUGCAUAUGGUGUUUUCAACGAUUGUCUAUCUCUUUAUGCUGUAGGCUUCACUCCGCAGGCCAUUUGUUGGAUAUAUGCAUGCAAAAUGUCGGCUUGUCUCAUCUAGAACCUGGAAAAUGUUAUCAUUUUCCUGAUGGGUAUGACAUCAGGACCUUGACUUUGUCUUCUUAUACUUUGUUUUCUCAUCUAAUUUACACUGGUUGUUCACUGUAUGGAAGUUAUUCUAUUUCUAUGGAGGUAUUUGUAUGCCCUAACCAUCAAUCUAUUAGAAAGACUGUAUAGUAAUAUGUACAGAAUCGGAUGUGGGAAAACAGUAUGUUGUGAUUGUUGCAUGUAAAUUAAGUUGCUAAGUUGCAGCAAUUUAAGGCUGUUAUGAUUAUUAGGACUCACUAGAGCCUUUUCACAAGUCAAAUAUCCUAAUUUGACCGCAUUUUGAUCUUUUAUUCCUCACUAUGUUUGUCUGAUUUAUCUGUCAACAUUGUAGUUCUUCUCUAUAGAAAUUCUCAGAAGUCUGAUUAAGUAGAAUAAUGGUUUUUGUCUCUCUCAAACUGUUUACUUUUUACAUCACGUUAUUACAGUUUACCACCCACUUCCAGGUAUUUCAGUUCAAAAGAUAUAUUGUGACAUAAGCUAUGGUUGAUGCUUGAUGACUCUAUGAUGAUUGAUAGUUUUGUUUCAUAUCUUAAUUUUCUGUGACACUUUGUUUUUGUUAACUCAUUUUUCUGAUUCAUAAUCUCCUCUGUGCGUCUUGACCAUAUUUCUCUCUUAGACACAUAUUUUAGAUCUAAGCAGUUUUUAAAUAUCUGAUUUGGGACAAUUGGAUAAAACUUAUAAGACUUCGACUGUGGCAGACCCUUUGUGGAGUACAAAGGAGUAAUUCCGCCAGAUCAAUUACAAAACAAGCAACAUGAAUUGGAAAGAGAGGCUAAUUCAUUAAUUUCUAGGGGUGGAAAGGUCAGCCUUGAAAAUGCCAUAUUGUUACUCCUCACUUUUACUAGAUAUUUUGUAUCUAUGUCUCGUUAAACCAACUAACUGGUGGAGCAUAUAUUUGUAGGUAUCAGCUUCUAUAUUAUCAUACGAGGAGGCUGUCCAAUGGUGUGGUGGUUCUCUGCCUAGCUACAUUUCAAAGGUCGGUAUAAUAUUCAACUGAAGUAAACUAAACUUUGUUUUCUUCUGGUGAAAAUUUAGGGAGACCCACUCCACCAUAGCCCAUUUUGAAAUAGACCGCCAGAGUCUGUCAUAUUUCGAUAAAUUAUUUCAGUCAUUUUAAUUGAAGAUUUUGUUAAAAUUGAUGGCUUCAUUAGCUUAAUUGCAUUCAAAUUUAAAUCUGAACAAAAUAAACUCAAUCAGAUGCUAUUUCACUUGAUUCUUACACUAAAUAUGACAGAGUGACCAGUCUAAUUAACCAAAGCAAUUGGUCCGUUUAUUUAUUUAAGCAAAUUGGAUGGUUAGUUUCGUUAGACUUCAAAACAUCACUAACACUACUAUUAAGUCAAUUCUUCAUGAUAUAAAAAGGUGAGAAAAGGGAUGUAUGUCUAUAGCCUAUGUCCUCAGGGAAAUCCUUAAUGAAAUUAUGGAGCAUAGAAAGAUACUUUUGUAAAAGAUAUGGAGCUAAAUUAGGAAAGGAGUCAUCAACCUAUUAGUAAAGUGGAGUCAUAGUCUAUGAGAAUUAUCAAGUUAUUGAAACCUAACGGGCUGUAGGCAUACCUAUACAGACUGAUUGUCCUGCCUGUGGAUCCAUUGAAUGCCCAAAGUAUUGUGAUAUAACUAGUCACCCUAGGAAUCAUCGGGUGUUUGUCACAAGUCCUUUUCACAAGGCCACUUCUUAAAGUUGUGGAUCAGCAAUGAACUGUAGUAGGUGGUAAUGGAUGUUGGUAACCCCUUUUUCGAAUAAUUGUUAGAAUUACUAGCAACACCAAACAUGAAUCGUAUUCAGUUAGUUGCUACUCUUUUCGAAUUUAUUAAGCUUUUCUAUUGAUUCUUAUUUUUUUUGUCAUGUUUUAUGAAAUUAUUUUAGGAUAGCACUCCACGUAUUGUGAAGUUUGGUGACCACCGUGGAUGCCCUUGUGGAGGGACUCAUGUUGCUGAUAUUGCCGAUAUUAAAAACUUAAAGGUAAUUAUGAGUUGUUAAAGUAUUGCUAGCAAUGUCAGUAUAAGUAGUUUAAAAGGAAUGAGGUACAUUACAUUUUCUUAUAUUUAUUUAUUUUUCUCUCCUUGUCCAAGUUGUAGGAUGUGAUUGUUUCUCCAUUACCUACCAACUAAUUAUGCUUAACUCAUUCUUGAGCUGUAUUAGGUAGAAAGAUCCUUCGUAAGACAGAGUUAUCAAGUUUGAAGAGAAAAAAUUCUUCAAGAAUAGAAAUACUGGCUUGUUUUUUAUUUACUUGAAGAAUGGAUCUUGUUGAAUAUAAAUAUUAAAACGCGUCUGAUAGCUUACACUUUUGGAGAUAAAACGGCUAUGUCAAAUUACUUUAACAUGGUACCAGAGAAGAAUGUCCCGAUUUCCAAGUCUUGCCAGACUCCUUGCUUCAUUUAAAUUCUUUCCAAAUCUUUAAAAUCCAUGUCUUAAGCUUAUCAAAAAGUCUCAAGCCUAGAUAUUAGUGGGGGUGUUGAAUAUAAAUAUCAAAAACGUCAUUCUUUGACAGCUUAAGCUUUUGGAGAGUAAUGGGUGUUUCUUAUUUUUUAACAGAUGUAACCUAAUUAGAUACUACCAUCUUGGCUUGCAUCAUCAUUAAAAUUUCAGAAGAUCUAUACUUGUCUGACAUUGUGUCAAGUAAUUGGAGGAAUUAAUCAGCUUGAGAUUUGAGCUGCUGUGUAAAAUCAGAAGUGGCAUUCAAUGAUUAGGUCUGCAGUUAUAAUCUGUAAUUUUAUCCAUACCACUUUUGGUUGGUAACUAUAAUUGUUACACGACUGUGGAAGUUAAAAAACCUUUGAGGUCUGCCACAUUUAUAGUAAAUUAGCCUUAUUUUUGUAAUCAUUCAAUACCUAUUUUUAUUCAUAUAUAGCUAUUGUCAGUUUGUUAUUACCUGCUGCUUGUUGGGCUUUUAGUAGAGCUUCUUUCCUGUUUUGUAAGCUUCAUGUUCCACCUAGGUUAAGUUCAUCAGGAAAGGGAAGCCGCUCGAGGCAAUGGGAGCAUCAACUUCUCCCUUCUAUUUUUAUUCACUAGUCACUCGUGUAAUUCAGUUCUAGAACUAUGAACACGAUUAUUUGUGUGAACAUGAUAUUAUCUAGGAUUGAAGAUUGAAAGAUAGGAGUUUGAUAUUGAUUCUUGUAGUUCACUAGUCACUUGCAUAAGUCAGUUCUAGAACUAUGAACACAGUUAUUUGUGUGAACACGAUAUUAUCUAGGAUUGAAGAUUGAAAAAUAAAAGACUUCGAGUCUAUCUGUUUUUCUUUUUUUCUUUUCUCAAGGUCUCUCUGCUAUCUCCACACUAUCUUCUCUCUUCCCCUUUCCAAACUCUGCUCGUAAUCUCCAUCUUGUCGAUCCUUUAACUGUUCGCUUUUCGCUGGUGUAUUGUUGUUAAGAAGAGGGAUUCAUUGUUGAAGCCAUUUCCUCGUUAAUAUGUUCGAUUCAUCCUCAUUGUUUCCCAGCUUGAUAUUUCGCACAAGGCUUGUUAAUGCACGAGUCAUUUUGCACCAGUGCAAUCUUUUGUUUUCUAUUUGGAAGAAAUUCGAGUAAGGGCUCUGAUAAAAGACUACACUAGUAUAUGGUUUUCCUUUUAGGAAGAUCCUGUGAAAUUUCAUGGUGCUCAAGAAUGCUCUUCUUCUCGAUUUUGUCCUUAUUUUCUUAUUAUCUAUUCUACUACUAGAAGUUUGUAUCAACUCAUUAAUAUCUUUUAAACCUUUCUUUAACCUGUUAUAUUUCAGGUCACUCAAAUUCGGAUGAAGAAAGGCCUUACCAAAGUCUUUUAUAGUAUCAGCACUUGAAGAUUGCUGCCGAACUUCAUCCUUACGAAUUGCUACAACCAUCAACAGUAAGUUUUACAGUUUUUCAAUUAUAAUUUCAUCUCAUUGUGGCAUUACACUCCUCUUGAAUAAUUUAUUGUAUAUGUACAAAAAAGUUUUAUGGUCACGAUGUUAAAGGGUUUGAAUUGACGAUUAAUAUCUCAUGUAUGUCUUUGUCUAUGUUGCGAUAAUCAAUAAAAAGCUUCAUGAACUUAUUUAUAAUUGAUAGCUAUAUUUUAGAUUUUCCGAAACUAGUUUUUUUUAAUCUUUUGAACUCAUUUAAGUAUCUUCGGUGGUGUGCUCCUUCAGUUGACCCGUUCGUCAGUGUCGAAAGAAGCUAACCUGUGAUUCGAUGCUGUUAAUGAUGUUUUUAAACUAUAAUAAUAAUACAAUAAUAAAAUCUUUUAUGGUGGUUCAUGAUAUAAACACCAUUGCACUUUCUCUCUAGGGUAGGGUUACACUUAGAUAGGUCAACAUUUGUCUUUAAAGCAUUUUAAAAACUAGGAACAUUCCAAUGUCUAGCUGUGAUGGUAACAUGGUGAAAAUUGUAACAGCAUGGCCCAGUUCCUCUGCUGUUAAAGAUGCAUUAUUUAUACUCACAAACUUCGUAGUUCUGUUUCUUCAUAUUGUCAAUAUCCUUGGUUUUACAUCGGUUUGUUUGGCGGUCUUGUUUUUGCUGUGUUUCUAUUAUUAAGUGAAUAUGAGCUCCUGAUAAACUUUGCGAAGUCAACCAUGGAGCACCCAUCGGGUGAUUUUGAUGGAUCGAUUUGAAAAAAGUCCCGCCAUCUUGGACUGACGAUCACACGAGAAAAAACAACAAAUUCUAUCAUCAUUAUCGAGGUUGCUAAUUUUGUAUUGCAAGAGAUUCUUGUAUGUUGGAAGAAAUUUCUCCAUCACUGCUUCAACGGGAAGUUAAAAGGAAAUGCACAGACACUUUCAUGGAGUCAUGACAGUAACUUUUUGGCUUAUCCACCGGCUAAGAACACGGUUGCAUGCAUGUUGUGAAUGUGUGGGUGCAGUUAGAAGCGCAAUUUGGUUGAGUGAGUACUUUCUCCUCAACGAGUUUUCAUUAAGACAGUUUGGUAAGCCGUACGAUUCAUUUCGUUUGUGAUUCGGCACCGUUUGGUAAUGGAAUUAGCUGGAGGAUUAGCUCUUAUCCUCCAGCUAAUCCCCAAACAAGUUUCAAGGUGGUGGGAACAACAGUUCCCACCACCAUCGGGAUAAGGGAAGGGGGUGGGGAACAACUGUUCCCACCCCCCCUUGUGUCAUAUGUGUUCUGUGAGUGAAAAUUUUUCAAAUUACCCUCCUUAUCCCCUUCUCCCCAUUUUCGAAGCAAGGAAAGAUCCCUCUCUCUCUUGGUCACAGAGCUCCUGCGGCUGGUUCCUCUCCUUCCACCUCACCGAGCACCGCUUGUUGUUCCCACCUCACCUCUCUCUCCACCUCACCUCACCACUUGUUGUUUCCUCUCUCUCCAUCUCACCUCACCGAGCUCCCUCUCCCCUGCACCGGGUUCUUCUCUCUGCACCUCUCCAUCCCGUGAGUCCGCUCCCUCCCUUCACCUCCGGCCGACGGAGCCUGUGGUUUCCGCGAAGCUUGUGGGUUUGCGAAACCCUUGUCGCGAGAUCACUUGUUGCGGAUAUUGAUUUAUUUAUUAUUGUAUCAGUUACAAAAUAUUCGGUACAAAAUAAUCGUAUUAUUUUACGUACAUAUGAAUAGAAAAAGAAUAUAACUUAGGAAUCCUACAACUCACCCUUUUCUUUUUCUCAGUAGGGGUAAUUAGGUAAUUUUAACAUUUCACUAACCCAUUAUCCUCUUAUUCCCAAAUACUAUCCAAACACUUUUUUCCUUAUCCCUCCUUAUACCUAUCCUAAUAUCUAUUUUCAUCCAAACACAAAAUUACUUUUAUCCGCAUACUUGUACCUAUCCCUAGAACAGCUAGUUCUUGCUUAUCUCCGAACCAAACGGUACAUUAAAGAACCGUUUCAAUCUUAUGAAGGUUUUCUAUCUAAACUUCAAGGCCAUAUUGAAUGGCGGAUUUAGAAAGCUCAAUAAGGUUGAAUGGGAAGCCUCUCAUUCAAGUUUUUUCCUGCAGUUACGCGCUUCGUCGAAACCAUUCAAUGACUUCAAUGGCACUUUGCCAACAUUAGCCACAGCUAUCUGUCUUACUUACGGGGAAAAGGUUUUAUCCUCCAUGCUUCAUUUCCGCAUGAAUCAUUCAUUUUGGGCGAAGCAACUAGAACUAUGGAAGCAUUCUUCCCCACGAUUCGAACAUCACCUUCAAUUUCGCAGAGAUUUGAUCUUACCAUUAGAAACAUUGUGCAUCUAUUUUCUCUCGGGCUUCAGAUCUUCUCGUUUCUCAUUUUCAAAUAAGAGAGAGGGAGAGGGAGAGAGAGUUGUAGCAUGUUCCCGGACAAAAAUCUCUCCUUUUAAAACUGAAACAAAUACUGCAUGCCAAGUGAUUAUCAACCAUUUUCGGGAAGUACAGAGCACAGCCACUACUGUGCAAAGCUAAAAUGUGCAGUUCAAGUGCUUCUAAAAAAGUGGCAGGUGCUUCACGAGUGCGUUUACAUCCACUGGAUAAGUUGAGAAAGUGAAAAAAAGAGAGAGAACAAGAAAUGUUGGUUGAAAAGUUGUGACGAUAAUGUCGAGCCCUCAAGCUGCCGGAGCCUCCGCCAUUUCCUGCUCGACAGGGGUAGUUUGAACAGGGUAAUACUUGUAGUGCAGCUCACCGACAUCGUCUCCCGACAGCUUCUUCCACCCAUCAGGUCCAACAUGAUAAACUACAAACAAACAAAAAAAAAAAAAAAAAGGAAAGUAAAAAAGGAUUAGAGCAAUCAAUUUACCAUUUGUGAGAAGAGAUGGGGUUAGAAAUUUGGUCGCAAAAUUUGACCCGAAUUCUAAUUUCAUCCUGAUAGUUUAAGAAGUUGUAAUUAUUGAGUCCCAAAAUCUGCUCUGCACAACAAACGAAAUCCUUGCUUUAAUCUACAGUCUGAAAAAGUGCCUAGGUAGCACAACAAUUAGGUUUCUUUGUAAAAUUGAAACUCUGAGAAAGAAAUCAAAGCCAAGUUCAAACUUGCUGAACGAAACGAAAUUGAAAUCAAGCUCAAACUUUGGAUUGGAACUUCAAGGAUGAAAUUUCAAACUGAGGCCCAACCAUCUUAGGGUCCAAAUUGUUGCAAUUCAAAUUCUGAGCAGAAAAUUGAAACAGUGGUCAAACUUCAGGAUGUUAUUUCUUCACGGAGUAAUUAGCAAGUAGCCCUAAACAUGAAAACUAGUAUAUAUAAUACAUGGAUCACAUACAAAUGAGCAGAGGACCAAGUCAAAUAGUCUAGAUCGAGUACAACAACAUGUAUGCCCAAGACGGAUGUUAUAUAAGUGAUUUUAGCGAGUAGAAAGGUAUCCAAGUGCACAUGCCUUUACAGUUAUUCUAGCUUAACUGUAUAUAGAAAUAAUGGAUGAGCGAUAGAAAAGCACAUACCACUAACAACACCACCACUUGCUCCAUCACGGAAUGUGGCGUGAUAAAUAGCCCUACGUGCCAGCUCAGCAGCUUCCUCGACUGACAUGUCGAAGCGGUAGCUGAUAAAGUAACACACCGUAGGUAAGUCGAGGAACAUUCGAUCGUAUAUAAAACAAGGGUGAGAAAGUCAGUAAAAAUUCAACUUCCUACCCAUUAUCCAGGACACCGUAAGCAUAUGGCGAUCCAGACCCUACAGAAAACCUGUUCCCCUUGAGCCUCCCUCCUUCGCUGUCCACGUAAUAUAAUCCAGGUCCCUGAGAAAGUAAGAAAAAAUAAAGAGGUUUUAUUAGCCACACAACUUUGGAAAGAAAACAAAAAAAUUGGGUUAAUUACAAAAUUGGCCCUGAAGUUUGGUCCAUCAUUUCAAUCAUUCUUUUUUAGUAGUAUCUUUUUAGUCUCUGAAAUUUGUUCUAUGUCAAAACUAAUUCUUCUGCUAGUCUCUGCCUUCUAGAAAAGCACCGUCUUUACAUCACUGUUAAAAUUGAAUCAUUGUUAAAAUUGAAGCGACAAAAUACUGCUAUGUUAGCAUACUCUCAUCGAUGCUGAUGUGGAGUCCUUUUAUUCCUGAGGUGGACGAAUGUCGCUAAGGACAAGACUAAUUAAUACGCAAGGGAAACUUAGGAGACAAAAUUGUUAAAAACUUUUUAGGACAUAAUUGAAGCUGGGGUCAAACUUCAAGGACUAAAUUUCUAAGUAAUCCAAAAGGCUCUGUAGAAAUGUAAGACUUCACCUGAACAGUAGCACAUUUUGAUAUUGCUACAUGAACUUUAAAAAGUUUGAUUUUACCACCUCACAUUUCGUUCGUUUUGAUUUUUGAAAAUUUCUUCCGAAAAAGAACUUGUCAAACUCCAUCAGAAUUUAAGGGAUGUUAUUAAAAAAUUGUGUGGAAUAUUUUAUCAAAUAGCAGAAUAUUAAUUUAGAUUACAGAAUAUCCGGUUAAAAAAGUAAAAAAUACUGUUAAAUUCUGAUUUGACACGCUAAACACGUCAUAAGAUUAAGCAGUAAAAUAAAAAAAAAAUUUUGAAGUUCAUAUGCCUGUUUUGAAAUGCAGCAUAGUUCAGAUAAAGAUCUAUUCAUUUAUAUAGAAGUUUUCUAUUCAAGUCAACAAGCACCUUUUCAUCCCAUCCAGCAAUCAUGGUACCAAUUGAGAGGCCCAUCCCUCGAUAUGAAAAGAGAAUAUUUGCCAACAGCUUUGAAGCGCCUGUAACCGAGAUCCUUCGCUUGUUCGCCAGUUCAUGUAGACGGCACUAUAAAAGAGGGAGAAGUCAUAGAAGAUCACGAAAAUUAUGCAGAAUCAUUUUAUUAGAGUUCGCAAAAGCACACAGAAGUAAUAGCACAUCCCCAUAAAGUAUCCUUUUUUAUAAGCAAAUGUAACCUUGAUUCCCAAGUUCCGAUGCCAAAAUUGGCAAUCAGCAGCUCCUCCAGCCAUUGUUCCAAGCAUGUAAGGAUUGAUCUCAAUGAUUUUCUUCACGCUUUGAGAGGCUGGGUUCAAAGAGGAGCGAGAAUGAGAAUGAGAGCCAAUAAUGUUACGAUCAGGUGCAAACAAAAAUUCUUCUGUUGUUCAAGUUGAAAUGUUUGGUCCACAAAGCAAAUCACCUUUUCUCUUGAGGAAGGUCAGAAGCUACUGCUCUAAACUGUUCUUAAUUCAGGAACAAAUCAUGACAAACCUUAACACAGUAAGAGAAAUGACAAAGUUGGGAAGGGACUAUUUCAACACUCCCAUUGUUUGCGGUGGUUUCUCCGUACAAUUUUGAUCUGUUAAAGGAUGCGGCAUUAAAACCCUAGUAGGAGAGGGCGAGAGCUUACAUAUGUAUCCUCCCAUGCUAGCCCUAGAAUCCGCGGCGACGAUGACGCCCUCCUUGAAGAUGAAGGCGAGCGUCGUCGUCCCCUUCGCGUGCUUCAGCGUCUCCUUCGCGUUCUUCUGAAACCCAUCGAACUGCUCCCAAGCAAAACCCCCCAAGAAUCGGCAAGAAAACGAAUUAGGGCAAAGAUCGGAGGGAGGAAACCCUAGAGAGGUGGAGGAAGUAAGGAGAGGAGGAUCGGAUUCGACUCACGUCGUCGCAGGAUGGGAGAUCGAAGGAGGGGGCGGCGGGGAAUACGCCGUCGCCGCCGAUGGAGGGGAUCAGCGCCGCGGAAGAGUCGAGCGCGGUGGUGUCGAGCUUCAUCUUCGUUGUAACCAGCGCGUCAAUGGCGAGUGUCAAUGGCGAGAGCGAGAGAGAGAGAGAGAGAGAGAGAGAGAGAGAGAGGGGUCGAGUAUGCUAUAAAGAGGAAGAGGGAGGAGGCUUGGAAGAAAACAAAUGGAAGUAGAGGCCAGUAGGCCCACAUUUUUUGAGCCAUUUCGGGUCAAGGGUCGGCCCGACCCGACCCGGUUGCUAAUCCAGGCCAGGUCGUACCGGCCCGUUUACGAAGAGCAGUAGGCCCGGUCUAUCCUCUGGCCCGCACUGCACGGGCCGGGCCGGGCCGGGCCAGAAAAUCUUCACCUGGUUUUUUUUUUUUAGAUUUUUUUUUUCAGAAAAAGAGAUAAUUUUUUUAAAUUAUAAAUUUGGACUUAUAGCUUUUACUUUACACAAUUAUACCAAACUUUUUGACAACUCUUUUAUUAAAUAUUUUUAAUAAUUUUUUAUUAUUUGAAGAGAAAUUGAUAUUUUAAAAAAUAAUUACAAAAAAAAUAUAAAGUUUGUAUUAAUCAUAUUACAUAAAAUUUGUAUUUUUUUAAAAAAAAAGAGUUUAAAUUAUAACAUUUUGACUUAUAGUUUUUAAUUUACACAAUAAUAUCCAACAUUUAUAAAUUUUUUUCAAAAAAUUUAUAAAUUUAAAAAAAUCACAAUAAUUGUGGAGAGACUUUGUAAAAAAAAAUUGUUGAAAAAUAUUAAAAAUAUUUGCAAAGUAAACUUGAGAAGUGAGGGAAAAGAAAAUUUAGAUUGAAAGUUAGAGAGUGGGUGUAACGACCCAGCCCACUAGCAAUAAUAACUCGUUGGGCCCAACCACAACCCAAAAUGCUUAAGCCCAGUUAUUAUUACUAGUGUCUAAGUCUCUUAUAAACCCAAUGACAACCCCAUUCCCAUCCGAUAUGGGAUUAUUGGGGUGUCACAGUGGGAGGAAGUAGGGUUUGUGGAAGAAAAUGAAUGAAGAUGAGCUAAUCUCCUAUACUAUCUAUAGUACCGGAGCUCCGGUACUAUGGUCUUAUUUUCGAUCUUAAGGUGUUCAAAUCAACGAUCCACACCGUUAAAACUAAUUUACGGUAUUUAAAGUUUUUAGAAAUAAAAUUUUAUAUUUUUUCGACAUAGUUACUUUAUGAUCAAACCAUUUCAAAAUUGUUAAUUUUCAACGGCUACUAUGACGAGUUUGGAGUUUAACGGUGUAGAAGAAUCUAAAUUUCUUCAAAUUUUGAUAGAAAAUACUUUAAACUAUCUAUAUUAAGGUUAACAUUUUUUAUCUUGAACUUAAAAGUCCUAUUCUCAAAUUUUAAAGAUUAUUCAAUUUCCACCGUCCAUUUUGACAUAAUUUACUUACUAAGUAAACGAUGUCGAAAAAAAUUAAAAUUUUAUUCCUAAGAAUUUUAUAUACCCUAGAUCAGUUUUAACGGUGCGGAUCGCUAAUUUGGAUACCUUAAGAUCAAAAACAAGACUAUAGUAUCAGAGCUCUGAUACUAUAGAUAGUAUUGUAGCCUAAUUCGAAUGAAAAACUAUUUGUCGUGAUGAAUUUGAAUAUUUGUAGUGGUAUUUUAUAGAUAUAAAAAAUAUUUGUUAAAAAAUAUAACAAUAUUUUUUUGACUAAAAUGCCCUCUCUAACGGUCAAAUUUUUUAAUGAUAGUAAGGGCAUUGUGGUCAUUUUAAUAAAAAAAAUAUCUUUUUUUAUUUUUUAAACCCAUUUUUUUAAAAAUAAUAAUAAUAAAAUAUUUUUUUAGAAAAAAAAAAAAUUCAAAACCCAACCCAACGGCUAUUAAGCCGUUGGGCCCACUGUCCAAUAAAAGGUGAGCCCUAAAGGCUAGGCCUAUAAAAGGCUAGCCUUUUUUAGGCCUGGCUUAACUUUGGACUCAAAAGUUAGCAGGCCGUACCGGCCUGCAGGCCGACCCUUCGGCCCGGUACGGGCCAAGCCCGACACCGGCUGUGCCGUGCCAGGCCGACGGGCUGCAAAAGUUCAGCCCAGUACGGCCCGUAGAGCCGGACCGGGGGGAUUCGGGGCGGAUUUUUAAAAACCAGAGUCCGAACCUGAACCCGAACCUGACGGAUUUUAUUUUAUAUAUAUAUAUAUAUAUAUAUAUAUCAUAUAUAUAUAUAUAUUAUAUAUAUAUAUAAUAAUUAAUAUGGGCUACUAUACUAUUCAAUAAGUACCAAGCCUUGAUACUAUUGAGUUUUUGCCGUUGGAUUAAAGGAUGUGCAGGUUAGGAUGAUAGUGGUCCUGGUUAAAUGAGAGUGGUCCCUAGGUGAGUGGUGUAGGUUGGUUUAAUAGUAUAAUCUAACGGGUGGAAAUGAUCACAAAGGUAGAUCUAACGGUAGAAAACUCAUAGUUCAGGCGCUGGUACUAUCAUAGUUAUGUAGGCCGGACUAUAUAUAUAAUCAUAAUAUAACAUUACAUAUGUAUACAUAUGUAUUAUGUAUACAUAUGUAUACAAUGAUAUAUGAUAUAUAUAUAUAUUAUACUAAUAUAUAUAUAUAUAUAUAUAUAUAUAUAUAUAUAUAUAUAUAUAUAUAAUACAAAAUAAAUUCGAGUUCCGGUCGGGUUAGGAUCGGGUUCGGUUCGGGUCGGGUAUAAUCAAAAUUCAUAUCCGAAUCCAUAUUCGUCGGAUUUUUAGUUUUUAUAUACAUAUCUGAAUCCAUAUCCAUAUCCAUCGGAUAUAUUCGUUUCAUUUGGGUUCGGGUUCGGAUAAAAUUUCGGAUAUCCAUACCCAUUGACAUCCCUACCGAGGGGGUCAUUUUGCACAGAACUCCACUUGGACUUUUUAGUUCUUCAAAUUAGUACUUUCCCAUGAGAACAUUAAAAAAAGGGAAAACAUCAAAUACUACCCCUAUAGUUUUGCACUUUAUCACUUUAGUAUCUUAUGCUUUAAAAUGUAUCAUUUUAGUAAGUGUGGUUUUAUUUUUCUCUUUUUGUUAUACUCUUUACUAUUUUUUUUUUAUUAAAUUAGUGAAAACGUUAAAAGUAAAGAGUACGAAAGUGAAUAUUCUGUAAACUAUAGAUGGGGUAUUUAAAACUUUUGUAUAUAAGUUAACGAAAAGUUAAUAGAAGGGCUAAUAAAAAGAGAAAAAGGAAACCACAGGUGUUGGCUUAAAUGGGCCAGCAUCCUGCCCUGUGGUGGGAGGUCAUGUGGGCCGAGUCAUGUUCAAAAUAACGUGAGGCUGGGUUGGGCCGAGUCAUGUUCGAAGUGGCGUGAGGCCAGAUGGGCCGAGUCACAAUCGAGACCCGUGGGCGCUGUUUCUGUACACUUUAAGUGAAUUAGUUGCAUAUUUCUAACAGCUCGAGCUUUUGGGAUUAAUGGUUAGCGCCAACGAUCCGACAAGUGGUAUCAGAGCCAAAGGUCACGGAUUCGAUUCCUGCAUGUUGCAAAUAUGUGCAGGUGCUUGAGGGGAGAUUAUUGGCUUAAAUGGGCCAGCAUCCUGCCCUGUGGUGGGAGGCCAUGUGGGCCGAGUCAUGUUCGAAAUGGCGUGAGGCUAGGUUGGGCCGAGUCAUGUUCGAAGUGGCAUGAGGCCAGGUGGGCCGAGUCACAAUCGAGACCCGUGGGCGCUGUUUCUGUACGCUUUAAGUGAAUUGGUUGCAUAUUUCUAACAAUUAUUUGAAGUUUACCCUUAAAAAAUAGUGAAGGGGAAUGUGAUAAAAAUACUACGUGGACACUUCUAUUUGCAGUGUAAAUCGCCGUAAAAUUAUAUUUAGUUAGAAAUAUGAAUAUGAAGCAAUUAAACUUUGAAUUUGAAUUUCGAGUAUUAACCAUUCAGCCUUUAGCCAAUUGUGCUAUAUACGGUUUUAAAAUUUAGAUUUUAAAAAUUUAUUUUAAAUUAGAAUUAAAAUUUACCAAUAGAAAAAUACUACCUACAUACCUAUAGAUUAACAAAAAUCUUACACCCAAUGCACUAAAAGGUUCACAAAAUUUUUUAAAUUUUUAAUAAAAAACUAGAGUGAGAGGACGAGUAAAAUAAUGAAAACUCUUAGAUGUGUAGAAGGGUUUUUUAGUGUAAUAGUCUUUUCCUAAACAUUUAUUCUAAAAAUAAGUUUAUUAAAUUUUUAUUUAUAAAUAUAGUCUUAUAAAAGCGGUGAAUGAUUCACCGCUUUUAAAAGCGGUGAAUCAUUCACCGCUUUCUUUAUUUUUUUCAUUUUUUUCUAUAUUUUUAUAAUGAUAAAAGCGGUGAAUGGUUUACCGCUUUUAUUUUUUUUCUACUCCUAAUGAGAAGUUAUAAAUGCGGUGAAUCAUUCACCGCAUUUAUAGGACUAUUUUUAUAAUUAUUUUUUUAACAAAAUUAUUUUUAUAAUUAUAAAAAUUAAUAAGAUUAUUUAUAAAAAAAAUUCUGUGUAGAAUGUAAAAUAUACGCCCAGUGUAGGGUGUGCACGUAGCAUCACCUUUUCUUUUUUUUUUUUUUCAUGUUGCUUGGAUUAGACUAAAACAAGAUAAUUUUUCAGAAUGGAUAAAGUAAUAAUUUCUAUUUAAAAAAAUAAAAUUCUCAUGGGCUUUAGAAUGAGUUGGGAGGGUUAACUGGGAAUUUAGUUUACUUCUUCGCGAUUCACUCAAAGGUGCUAACUACUUUUUAGCUAACAAGAAAAUAUAAAUUCGGUUAAUAAUCAACAAUUAAUAGCUUGAUAAUAGAACAAGCUAAUUUUUAACAAAUAUCAAACUCAAUUGACAUAGUAACCCAAAUCAAAGGUAUUAAAGGAAAUGGAUUAAAAACAUGAAGUUCGAAACCAACUUCGAAAUAGUCUAUAGUUGAGGGGGUCUACAUUAAAUUUUUCAUAAACAUACUAACAUUUUCACAUUUUUACAUACACUUUCAGAGUGUAAAUUUACUUUUUUGUAGCAGAUGGAUUGAGUUUUACAAAAUGAAUAAUAGUCUCUUAACUGAAGAGGAAUUAUAAGAUGCUGCGAUUUAUGAUUGAAUCAUAGGAUCAGUGUUUGCAUCAGAUGUUUGAACACUUUCCCUGGCCUUUCUCACCUAAAACAGAGAAGAAACAAAAUCAGAAAUAAAUCAUUUCGAAUUCAAAUAAGCAAUGCAUUAUUAGAACAACUGAAUUAAACAAAAACAGAUUUUGUACUAGAUUUUGCAGUACAACAAUUAAUAAUAUAGAGUCUUAAGUGACACUGCUAAUAGAAAUUUCCCUUUUUGCAUGAGAUACUGCGGUCGAAUAUUUACAGUAAAUCUUGUUUAUCAUAUGCGAGCUCCGAAGCAGUGGCGGAUACAUUUUGGUUCGGUUUGGUUUUGACGGAAAGCUGAAUCAAAGCAUGUCGUAAAUUUUUAUAAGAAAGCUCCAAAUGGAUUUGGUUCAGUUCAAAUCUGAUUUUUAGUAGGAAAAUCAAACCAAAAUGACUAGGAUUUCCAUUAUUCUAAUUUAGAAUCAAACUAAUUUCACGUAAAACUAACCAAAUUGAACCUGAAAUCGUUGUUCCAGUUCGGUUUCUUAGUUUGUUAUUUUUUCCUGAAUCAUAUCCCACCAAGAAGCAGCUGUUGGAUAUGUGCAGCUUUAAGAAACUUGAAUGAUCUUCAGGGCUGAAAAGCAAAAGCUUCAAUUCGAAGCUUCUACUUCAAGUCGACUUAGAAAUUAUGGAGGGAUUCUAAUGAAAAAGUUGUUAAUGACUUGUUCAAUUUGCUCACCUUAAACAGCACUUCAGCUCUAGCCUGUUGUAACAUGUCCUAAAGACAUGGGCUUAAAUAUAUUUGCCAAAGGAAAGGAUAAUUGGGGAGCUCUCAGUUCCUCGGACAUUUAACGAAAAGCUUAAAAAAAUGAUCAAAAAACAAUUAAAAGGUAGAAUUCUCCCUGUUUAUCAUGUACUACUACUCAAAUGUUGCAGAAGUUUGUUUAUGAUUCAUCUACAGUAUUACCUGUAAAGAUCCUAGAACAUUCUAAGAGAGUAUAAUUAUACUGUAAAGGUUUUACUAGGCAGUACAAAUACAGUUUUAAUUGAAAUGACUUACUUCUUGAUCCCAAUUGGUGGAGAGUAUCAUUGCGAUGAGAACCAAAAUUUGUACGAUCAUCGCGCAUAUAAUUCCCAUCCAUAGGCCCUGGAAAACCAAUUAUAUAGUUGUAGUAAGAAAAGCAAGUAAGAAAGCAUAUAUAGAUUUCCGUACUUAACAAGAAAGAGCAGAGUUAUAGCUCACCUUCCCACCGGCAUGGAAGAAAAAAGCAAAGAGAACAGCAGAUGGAAUGCCGACGACAUAAUAGGCACCGAGGUUGAUUACUGAACAUAUCUUCUGCCAACCACAUCCUCUAGCAGCGCCUGUAAGUUUUGACGUUUGAUAUUGAAAUAUAAAUAAAGCAAAUUAUACUUCAUAUUUCAUAAACAACUUUGGUAGAACAAUUAGCCGAACGCAAAUGAUAGGAGAAUGCAGAAUACUAUCGAGAAAACGAGAUCAUGCACCCUUUACAGAAACAAUCAAUACAAACGAAAGUUGUAGAAUUUUUUUUUGGAGAUUUAACAGGUAGUAUUGGGCAUAUACAGACAAGAAAAAAAACUAUGCAGAAGGGUUUUUAUACGAUGAAUGUAUAAAGCAAACUAAAUUGAGAAUUACAAAAUUCUGUAGUCUGAUGUCUUGUAGCAGAGAGCUAAGCUACUAACGUAUAAAGAUUCCAUGAGCGACUCAUGGACGCUAGGUUUCUUUUGGGGCAUAUAAGGGAACAUGACCUGUCUAGCGCACACAUUUUAUGUUGUACUCGGUUAUCUCUAUGAUUCAAACAUAAAAUUUUACUUUGUACUUGGAUAUUCCAAUUUUGUGGAAUAACCCAAACUGAAAAAAUUACCUAAAUUUGUCCCCAAGCCAAUGCCUGAAAGUACCACAGGGAGCAUGUGCGUGUACGUGAACAGUGAAUAAUAACAAAAUGCAGCAUAGAGGAUUUGGACUUAACCAACCUGAAAGAGUGCAUUGAAUCCCAUCCAUAAAAUCAGAAGCAGCAAGAAUCGGCAUCAUAGCUGAUACAUAUUUCACGACUUCUUCUUCAUUGCUAUAUAAGUAGCCCCAAAUAUCGCGCACCAAGAUGGUAGCUAAGGCAACAAUUAGGCCCUCGGUUAUGGCUAUGGCUACCACAACAUAUACCGACAAGCGUGCAGCUUGCGGAUGCCCGGCUCCUAGUUCGUUUGAAACUCUAAUACUGUAAGAGGGGGAAAAAAGAAAAAGAAAAAGAAAAAGAAAAAUAAGAUGAAAGCAAUACUGAUUAACAAUAUUACAUAAAAUGCAAAAAAUAGUUCAACUCCUCUUGCCUUGCAGCAUUGCUGAGACCAGUUGGGAUCGUAUAAACCACCCACAUUGUGUUCAGGCUGGCAAAAUAAGUUACGGUUACUAGACAAUAAAUUAUAGACUGUAAAAUUAAGUAACUUCAAAUUGCAUUGGUCCUUGGACAAAAGAGAAUAAUUUAAUGUUGAGGGAAGUGUUCCUUAGAACAGAAUAAGUAAAUUGCAAGCAAUUAGCAGAACAACAAGGUCAAACCAACCACCAUUUAAGGCAUUAAUAUUUAGAGCUAGAACUUGAAUAAGAUUGAAAGAGUAAACAACUAAAAACUGUGAACUCUGGAAACCAUCAGGGAUGGAGUCUCAAAAGGGAACACUCUUUUAUUGUAAAGGAAAGAUCAGCCAAUGUUUCCAUGAAAGGUCGGAUGAUUCCAUGAAGUAACGCUAGGACACAAUAGUUAGACAAAGCAGAGAAAACUUAUUCAACAGUAAGGAAGACUUUGCAAAGUUGUCGCAAUAAAAGAAUUGAAGGCAGAAAAGAUUUACUGCAAAAGCACAGAGUCGAGAGGUUUACAAAAUAUCUAGAAUUUUCUUCAAUUUCGACAAAAUCAUAGAAAACCAUAUAAUGAUUUGGAUGAUUCACAUAUCUAUUUCUGUCCAGAAGGAACAGAAAAUGACUCAACUACAAAUUUUUCUAUAAUCAUGCUUUCGUAAAUCCAUUUUCAAUCAUAUGCUGAAGUUGUAACCAGUGCUUUCUAGCAGAGAACAGAAAACAUCUUCUCUAUGCUACACUUGUCAAAUAUUUCCUUCUGCACAUUCUGCAGAAAUGAAACUGAGCAACCAUUUCAUGCAGGAACUUGGACCACUUUCAAGGACGUAAAAAGAGAAGGCAUCAACAGCUCUUUUGAGCAAAUGUGACAAUUCAUUCUAAAACUACAACAGAUAAGAAAAGUUUUAAAGUUCAUUUGCUAACCUGAUUGACAAAACUGAAGUCUCUAGUUUUGGAUUGGGAAGAAAACCAGCUAGAAGAACCACCAUUUCAAACGCCCAAUACUCUAAGCUGCAUCAAUUUGUGCUGAUAAACCAUCAUUAGUUAGUGCAUAAUUUGGGACAAAGAAAAUAGAUUUUAGACUAAACAGAAACAUUGAUCAUAGCCAGAUAAAAUCACAUAAUAUAUGAAGUUCUCACAAAAUAAGCAUAAGAAACAGUUACUUCCACAAGAUACUAUUCACAGAAGCCAGUAAGAGAGAGAGAGAGAGAGAGAGAGAGAGAGAGAGAGAGAGAGAGAAUACCAAUACUAUUUCUACAGCAUGAAAUAUCAUGCCACCAUGGAUGAAGGACUUGGCUGUCCUAUUAUGAAAACUAGUUUAUAUGUGAAGUGGAAAAGUAGCCAACCCAACUAGUAUUUAAUUUAUCAAAUUGCUAAGAAAACAUCUGUGAUGAAAGUAGGACAAGGGCCUCAAAAUGUUAAAAAGCAUAUUACCAGGGUACUUCUCUAUAAUAUAUCUAUGAAUUCUCUAAUUAUUUAAUUUAGCAUUCCAUACCAAAAAAAAUGACAAAAACCAUACAAGAUUAAAACAAGUACAUUUAUUUGAAAGGAAAAUUUUCUCCGCUAGGACUACGAAGGAAAAUUACCAAGUCAUAAAAGCGGAGGGAACAGCAAGUCUCAAAAAGUUAAGAACAUCACUUAGUGCCUCUGUUGAAAAUCCAGUCCAAGUCCUCCUGCAAGCUCGAGAGAGCUUGAUGUAUAAUGCUAAUAUAAGCGUGUUGAUCCAGUAGGAUAUAGUUGUCGCCAAUGCUGCACCUUUGGUUCCAAGGCCAGAUUUAUACACCAAAAUCCAGCAUAAUAUAAGAUGAAGUAAUGCAGUUACCCCAGAACUAAUCACCAUCGGAAAGAUUAUAUUUUGGGUUUGUAGAAAUCUAACGUGGCAUUGAAGCAAACCAUAGGCAAAGAGGCCAGGGAUCAGCCAACGAGCGUAUAAACCUGCUUCUUUUGAUAUUUCGGGAUUCUGACCAACGGCAAUGAGAAUUUGGCUUGUGUUGGCCCAAAUAAAAGCUAACGGAACACUUGCAAGGAGAAGAACAAACAUAGCCCUCUGCAUUUGUAUACCGAGGAUAUGGUAUUGUUUUGCCCCAUAGGCCUGCCCGCAAAGCGUGUCGAGUGCAGUUCCCAUACCAAGCUUGUUAUGAAAAAGGAAAGGAGAUCGAUUUAUUAUUGAAGCCUUACCAGUGAAAAUUGUAUAAAGAAGUAGUAAGGACUGAACAUGAGAUGGACUGUGAACAAGAGAGAAAGUAAUAACUGAAUCUUUUGAAAAGAAUACAGGUGGCAUGCAUUUUGUUGAGGCACAUUACCAUAUUUGCUUACAUAUUAUAUCUUCAAUAUUGGAUUAAAGAGAAAACAAAGAGAAAAGGGAAAAAAAAUUGAAAUGGUCGACAUAAUUCGGUUAUCGCAUUGCAAGUCUUCUACUUAAGUCAGCAAGUGUUUGUGUAUUACUUGAAGUAUUAUCGCCAUGAGAUGCUACUCUUCAAAAUCUAGAUCAACAUCUGAGCUUGGCUUAUUCCUGUCUUUUUAUGAUGAGUGACUCAACUAAGUCUAUGAACGUGAAACUCUGUAAAAGUGAUAGGUUAAAAAUACCAUUGUUCCCCUUGGUUAAAUAUUCUAUUGGCUCGAGCGGAAAUUGGCACAUCAGCGACAAUCAUAGCCAAGCGGCUAUUUCCUUCUGCUUGCCAAAAAAAAAGGAAAAAAAAGCUUGGGAGUUGAAACAAGAAAGUGCGUGAAGGUUGGAAAUCAACACUGUAAUUCAACAUUGAUAGGAUGAAACUAGCCAACAGAGCAAGCCUCUUUCCUGGUAAAGAAAAUUAAGGCAAUCCUCAGAUACUUUAUUUUUAUCCUUAUCCACUAUUCUUUUUGUAAGUCAAAGAUCAUUUUUCUCAUUUCUAACAGGUAAAAAUAGAAAAAAAAAAAAACACGUAUGGAGACCCCCCAAUGUUUUUUUCUUUUCGGAUGAGACCCCUCAACUUUCGUUUAUUUUGAGUUAACUAAUUCACAUCAAAUUAAUUUGGGAUUUCAUUAAAUUCAACGAUGAUUUUGUUAAAUUUAAUGGUUUACCCUUUUUUAGCUAAUAUAAAUGUUGCUUCAACAAAGUUUUCGCCCAAAUUAAAAUAACUGAACAUUAAGAGGAUGCCGAUCCAAAAAAAUUUAGUCCUGAGAUCUAUUUCACAAUGGUCUACAAUUGAUGGGGUCUCCUUACAACUUGGCUCUUUUUUGAUGUAGGAAUAAGAUAUUCAAGAAUAAUCUCAUGAACAUUUUCUUGUGUGAUUAUAAUCGAGGAGCUUGAUUUUUGCUCCUUGAAAAGUCUUAUUAUCCCUGAUUUAGUAUGAUAAAUCUAGAAGAUGAUUUAUUUUAUUCCAAUAAAAAGACUUAAAUGUCGAAUAUGAUAUUCAUUCUGGACAUUUGAUCACAUUACUCAUCUACCAAAUAUCACAUGCUUCUCGAAUAAAUAAAAAAAGAUAUCCCGAAUAAGAUGCUCACGCAUCCAAACAAGGCCUAGGUGUUUAUAAAUUUUUAGCUGUUGGAUCUAUUCUUUUGACCUUUGGAUCAGAAGUCAACAAUGGUGGCUUCUUGCAAGGCCUACUAUUGUGCAUGACAUAAGGACCGCUAGGGCUAAUUCAAUGCUCAAAUAGGCUAUAGCACAAACACCUUAGUGUUUCUAAAACCACCCCAGCAAGACACUCUCUCUCUCUCUCUCUCUCUCUCUCUCUCUCUCUCUCUCUCUCUCUCUAUAUAUAUAUAUAUAUAUAUAUAUAUAUAUAUAUAUAUAUAUUAUUACCUUAUAUUUACUAGGAUAUCACAACUCACAAGCAAACUCUUUCUCUCGUAUUAUUCUACUCAAUCAGUGACAUCACUGCAACAUACAUUAUUCGUGACAAGAGAGAAUGGAAUAGGAGAGUUGAUAGGCUGGGCCAGCAUUCACGUGGCAUUUUCACCAACUUUUAAUUAACUCUUAAAUAAAUAAACAAAAGCUUUUCUCAACACGUAUUCACGUACGUAUCCAUGUCUAAAUCUAAUGGCCAUUCUAUAUGGUCGAUAGCUUGGUUGAUUUUUUUUUCUUUUUAUUUUUGUUUUUUUGGUUCUGUGUGGGUUUGGUUAGAGCCACAACAAAAAAAGAAGGGUGNUAGGUAAAUGAUAUCAAAAAAUCGCAAAAAUUAUUUUCUAGAAACUUCAAAUGCUCUAGAUCAAGUCUAACGGAGCCGAUCGUCGAUUCGAAAAUUCCAUCAUCGAAAACGGCUCAGGAGCACGGAGGCCUGAGAGCACAGCAGCCCUGCUCUAUAUAUAUAUAUAUAUAUAUAUAUAUAUAUAUAUAUAUAUAUAUAUAUAUAUAUAUAUUAAGAAGUAGCAACACAUAAUUCACCAACCAACCAAGAAACGAACACAUACAAAUACCCUAUGAGACAAAUCAUCAAACACCUUACAUGCAAUCCACGCUCCCUUUCCUCAUCAACCCAAAACUAAAUCACGUACCAGGACGCUGAAUCCGGUGACGUUGGCGAAGGAGGCGGCGACGGAGGCGCCGGAGAGGGCGAGCUCGCCGAGGUGGCCGACGACCAUGACGGAGAUGACCUGGAGCAGGUACUGAAGGAGGCUCACGGCGAUCAAUGGCGCCGCGAGCCCUAGCUGCCGAGGGACCUCAUCGGCGACGGCGAUGGAGAUCGGAGGGUUAGGGUUUUGCUCGGAGGAGGAGGAGGAGGAGGAGGGGAGAAGAGGGGAAUGGGGAGAUGGGUUCUCCUCUUCUCCUUCUCCCAUUGAAGGGGUUUUAUUAAUUUCUCUCCUUGCUUGCUAUGGAGGGAGACGAGAGUCGAGAAGAGAAAGGAUUCAAAGGAAUGGAGAGCGAUUUAAACGUUAAAAAAAGGUCAACUGUGUAGAGGACGAUUUUACAAUUUAAUACUUUACAAAUUUAUAAUUUCAAACUGAUCCUCUAAAAAUUUAUUUUGACAAAAUUUAAAUGAUGAUGGCUUAUUAUUAAGUUUUUCUCUUGAUCAAAUCCUAACAAUUCAUUUAUAUAAUUCUAACAAUCAAACAAAAAAUUUUAUAAUUCAUAUAUAAUUUUAAUAAUCUUAUAAAAAUCUUCAUAAUCUAUUAAAAAAAUAAUAAUAAACUGUAAAUAAUAAAUGAUUCACUGCUUUCUAAAGGCGGUGUUUUUCGUUUCUAAUUAUGUGAAUCUCUAGACACUGAGUUGGAAAAAAGAGAGUUCACUGGCCAAACAAUAUUUUUGAAAGAGUCAAUUUACAAAUUAGAAAUUUUAUAAGGUUCUUGUUAGAAACAACUACGUAUAAGUUUCGAUUUUAAAUGUUUUGCGUGGACCCGGUUCCUCCGUACACUCGUGGGCCGCCCACCUCAUGUAUAAAUAUCCCUUUGUUCCCCUCCCUCUUUAUCCGCUUCAAUUCUCGGCCACUCCACUCUCUCUCUCUCUUUCUCUCUCUCUCCUCUUCCUCCUCUCUCCACCCAACGAUGCAAACCCCAAUCCAACCCCUCCCACCUCUCCGCACCCACCUCCUAAACCCCCAACCCCACCUCCCCCUCCUUCUCCUCCUCCGCCGCCCCUCCCCGCUCCGGCGUUCGCCGCCGCCGCCGCGCUACUUGAGAGCUCGCUGCUACGGCGUCGGCGGCGGCGGAGGUGGAGUGGAGCCCCAGAAGAGGAAGAAGGCGGGGGCGGUGUCGGCGGUAGCGGCGGCGGCGGCGGCGGCGUACCCCUUUGGCGAGAUCGAGCCGCGGUGGCAGCGGUUCUGGGAGGAGCACCGCACGUUCCGCACCCCUGACGAGGUCGACACCUCCAAGCCAAAGUGCUACAUCCUCGACAUGUUCCCUUACCCCAGGUGAAAACUCCUAACCCUAAUUGGGGGAGAGAAACCCUUUUUGGGUUUCUGGUGGAAAGAUUUGGUCUUGGGAAUUUACGAACUUAUUAAAGAAGUGGUGCUAAAUUGGGAUUUAAUUUGUUGUCUGAGAAAUGAGGGGAAGCCAUUUGUUUUCUUGCAGAAAGGUUUGGUCUUGGAGGGGAGGUGAGUACCCAUUAGUUAGUCUUGUGGGAAUAUAAGAAUGUGGUGUAAUGAGGAAAGAGCUGGGUUACUUAGAUAGAAUUUCUUAAGUGGACUUAAUUUGCUAUUAUAGGUGAGCGUCUUGAUAAUAAUGAUGGUUGUUUAUUUAUUUAUUCUUUUCCCGAUGUUGGAUGGGUUUUAAUUUCCUAUGGUCUAUAUCUCUUUGUUGUUUUUUUUUUUUUUUUUUUUUUUUUUUUUUUUNCAUUUCUUGAUUUACUCUUCCCUAGACUCUUCAUUAUUACGUAUGAUAGAAAUUGGGGAACAUUAAUUCGGAGAUUUGGAUUUUUUCGUAAUGAAUAAGGAGACAUUUUUAUGUAGGUAUGUAUCAAAAGGAUGCUACCUAUCGUUGGUGUGAUGUAGGAAAAGAAUUGAUUUGUCCUUCUUGAUUGGCAACUCGCAGCUGAAGCUAUUGAGUUGAUGAGAGUAUACCCUGUCUUAAUGCAUGAAAGACGAUUCACUUACAAAUUAGGUUUUAUAGUGCUUAUUGUCUUAUUGGAAGAUUGAUCAUGUUUGUUUGAUCAAUCUUCCUGUUUCCACUCUUCUUAUUGGAAGAUUUGUCCUUCUUGAUUGGCAACUCGCAGCUGAAGCUAUUGAGUUGAUGAGAGUAUACCCUGUCUUAAUGCAUGAAAGAUGAUUCACUUACAAAUUAGGUUUUAUAGUGCUUAUUGUCUUAUUGGAAGAUUGAUCAUGUUUGUUUGAUCAAUCUUCCUGUUUCCACUCUUCUUAUUGGAAGAUUUGUCCUUCUUGAUUGGCAACUCGCAGCUGAAGCUAUUGAGUUGAUGAGAGUAUACCCUGUCUUAAUGCAUGAAAGAUGAUUCACUUACAAAUUAGGUUUUAUAGUGCUUAUUGUCUUAUUGGAAGAUUGAUCAUGUUUGUUUGAUCAAUCUUCCUGUUUCCACUCUUCUUAUUGGAAGAUUUGUCCUUCUUGAUUGGCAACUCGCAGCUGAAGCUAUUGAGUUGAUGAGAGUAUACCCUGUCUUAAUGCAUGAAAGAUGAUUCACUUACAAAUUAGGUUUUAUAGUGCUUAUUGUCUUAUUGGAAGAUUGAUCAUGUUUGUUUGAUCAAUCUUCCUGUUUCCACUCUUCUUAUUGCAAAGUUGAACUUAAGAUUACAUGAACAAUUUCAAAUGCACAAUGUUGUGGACUUUGAGUGGCCUUAUAUUCAAUUCUGAUCUUUAUUUGACUAGGAUGAUCUCACAUAACUUUCACAAUUUGUUUCUGAAUUCACUUAGUCUUUUUGCUUAAAAUAAAAUGAGGCCAUGAACAAUUACUUUGCAGCGGAGCUGGACUACAUGUUGGUCAUCCCCUUGGAUACACGGCAACUGACAUUCUCUCAAGAUAUAAACGCAUGAAAGGUUUCAAUGUUCUGCACCCAAUGGGAUGGGAUGCAUUUGGUCUUCCAGCUGAGCAAUAUGCUAUCGAGGUUGAAUUGAAACUUUUUGUGGCAAAUGCACUGGUGUAUGCCUUUUUUGUUUUUGGGUGAAUAACCCACCUCAUGCACAGACAGGAACCCAUCCAAAGAUCACAACAAAGCGAAACAUUGAACGAUUCCGGUCACAGGUAAUUUUGAUGUGACUUGUCUUUGUUGACAUUUUUAAUUUUCUGUUUGAAAAUUGAAGAUGUUUAAUUUCAAUAUGUUAUAUCAAGUUUGUCAUGUCAGGAUCAUUUAGACUAAGAGAGACAAUUAUAUGUGGUUAAUGCAUGUUUGUGCUAGUACGGCAGUUGUUGAACUUUCUGGCUUAUUUUUCAAUUGUUAGCCAAACAAGCCAUUACUCUAUGAUUUACUUGGAUGUUUAUAUCUUUUUUUGCAGCUAAAAUCUUUAGGAUUUUCUUAUGACUGGGAUCGUGAAAUAUCCACCACUGAACCAGAUUACUAUAAAUGGACCCAAUGGAUUUUUCUUCAGCUUCUGAAGACAGGACUGGCAUACCAGGUCCUGAAAACUGAACUAUUAUUUACUCGUUGGACUGCCCUGUUUGCUGUACUUAUUAUGUU
rnacentral:lncRNA from 1 species